rnacentral:rRNA from 1 species
GACGAACGCUGGCGGCGUGCUUAACACAUGCAAGUCGAACGGAAAGGCCCUGCUUUUGUGGGGUGCUCGAGUGGCGAACGGGUGAGUAACACGUGAGUAACCUGCCCUGACUUUGGGAUAACUUCAGGAAACUGGGGCUAAUACCGGAUAGGAGCUCCUGCUGCAUGGUGGGGGUUGGAAAGUUUCGGCGGUUGGGGAUGGACUCGCGGCUUAUCAGCUUGUUGGUGGGGUAGUGGCUUACCAAGGCUUUGACGGGUAGCCGGCCUGAGAGGGUGACCGGCCACAUUGGGACUGAGAUACGGCCCAGACUCCUACGGGAGGCAGCAGUGGGGAAUAUUGCACAAUGGGCGGAAGCCUGAUGCAGCAACGCCGCGUGCGGGAUGACGGCCUUCGGGUUGGAAACCGCUUUCGCCUGUGACGAAGCGUGAGUGACGGUAAUGGGUAAAGAAGCACCGGCUAACUACGUG